UUUUUUUUUUUUUGUUUUAAUUUGUUAGAUGCCAUGUUUAGCAUACCCAAAUUAGUUUGAGAUCAAGACUCAAUUAGUGUUGUAUGCUGGAUGCCGUGUUUACGGAGUAAAAUUGAUACUGUGAAUGUGAGAGAGGUCAAUGAAAGAAAGGAGUGGGAGGCAUUAGCUUUGUAUGUUUGCUUCUUUGUUUCCAGGCUUUGAGAUAUUCUUGAAUUUAGAAUUUCCUCCUUUUGGUGUUGGAGGGCGGUGUUGGAGGGUGUGUGAUAAUAUUUAAGAAUAUGACCAUACCUAUGAAAAUAUCUGUAUUUUAUAAGAGUAUAAUAUACAAAAGUAUGAUCAAUUUGAUUAUAAUUUUUACAGAGUUGAUUGUUAGAUUUUUGAUACGAGGAUUGAGUAGUUGUAAGAGGCAGUUUUAAAUUGAGUAGUUUUAUCUGAAUUAAUACGAGUCUUUUAAAUAGCAGUAUCCAAUGAUGAGAGUGGAUUUUGAUGUAGUAGGGACGUUCGAAUAGCCUCAUAUUCUGAUUGAAGGGCCAUUAGAACUUGAAUGAGCCUGAGAUAUUUGAUUUCAAAUGGGUUGUAUCUGGGCAAGAAAAUUAUUCACAGAUUGACUUGUUUCAGAUUAUGAAGAUUAGUUCACAACUGAUAAUAAUGGGCAAGUUGGCAUAUGACUCAUAAUUAGCAAAUUGGAUGUGGAUGGACAAGAUACAGGUAUUGUGAAAUCAGGUGAUGAUUUUUAAUAUCUCAAUCUUUAAGACGGUCAACAAAUUUUGCAUUAGUUUCAUCGUUCUCUCUUGUCGGCGUAGUGAUAUCUCCGGUAAUAAUACGCCAAAGAUUGCGGCCUAUCAAAAAAAUUUUCAUUUCUUGAAUUCAAAGAUUAUAGUUGAAAUUAGUCAGAAUUGUUGCAUAAGUUUUGAAAUAUCAGAUUUCUCCAUUGAUAACAAGAUGAGGAGAAAAAAAAAAAUGGUAUAAUAACAGGAAUGAAAGAAUGAACCAGAAUAGGUUGUAGAGAAAGAAGAGAGACCCCAGAAACUAAAAAUAAAAGCUUUACGGCUUUGAUACCAUGUUAGAAGAAAGAAU
rnacentral:misc_RNA from 1 species